rnacentral:misc_RNA from 1 species
CUCUCUCUCUCUCGCGCGCUCUCUCUCUCUCUCGCGUGCGCACGCGCGCAGCAGCGUAAAUUUGUAGUGGUCCUGGUUUUCUCUUUAGGAAACUAAGGACUCAAUACCUAGAAGUGAAAUUAUAACAAAUUCUUAAAUAAAAAUAAGCAUAAUUGCACUUGUAUAAAGUGGCAUCAAGCCUAAGAAGUUCAAGCAAACAAGUUACACAUUUUUCUGUUUUGCCAGAUAAAACAAAACUCCAGGGAGGAGUAUCUUGUACAAAAAGGUCUGGAAUAAAUGAAAAAUUGGCCAUUUCAAGCUCUACAAACUUCCCAUGCAUGGUUACUUAUUAAAGAAAGCAACUGUAUACAGUAAGGAAGCAAUUCAUCCAGCAAAGUCUUGAAAAGCCAAAAUGAUUCAAAUCAAAAGAAGAGGCUUUUAAAGCACAAGAACUCUCAUAUAAAUUGCAAAAUGAUUUGAUAUGGAAAAUAAAUGAUUCUAAUGUUUCACAUAACAAUUUCCACAUAUUUAGCUUCUUAAAAAAAGAUAUAAUACUCAAUAAAUUAUGGGAGAAGAGAAAGUGAACCUCAAGAAAGACACGCAAAGAAUAAUAACCUGAAGCAUA